GGCAAAUGUGAGAUGCAGUGUAUGGAAUGUCAAAUUUCUAGUAUGAGAAAUUAACGAUUUAAGUCCUUCUUAAAUGAGGCCAUUUACCCAUAGAGGGUGCCAGGCCCGUAUAACGUUAAUGAUUACUAGAUGGCAUUUCCAAAGAGUCGUGUUGCUUGAUAGUGCAGCACUAAGUGGGUGGUAAACUCCAUCUAAAACUAAAUAUAACCAUGAGACCGAUAGUAAACAAGUACCGUGAGGGAAAGUUGAAAAGAACUCUGAAUAGAGAGUUAAAUAGUACGUGAAACUGCUUAGAGGUUAAGCCCGAUGAACCUGAAUAUCCAUUAUAGAAAAUUCAUCAUUAUGAUUUUAAUAUAUUUUAAUAAUGGUGUGCAUUUUUUCUAUAAAGGACAUUGUAAUCUAUUAACAUAAAAAAUUUAUCAUAAGAUCAGCGUAAUUUUAUUUAAAUUAUUUUGCUUGCAAUUUAAAAAAAAAAAAAUGCUUUUUGAUUUGAUAAAGUGUUGAUAGAUUUAAUAUAUAGCGCGAAAAUAAUAUUUUAUAGUAGCAUACUGCUUAUUA
rnacentral:rRNA from 1 species